AGAGUUUGAUCCUGGCUCAGGAUGAACGCUAGCGACAGGCUUAACACAUGCAAGUCGAGGGGCAGCGGGGGCGCGGCAACGCGCCCGCCGGCGACCGGCGCACGGGUGAGUAACACGUAUGCAACCUGCCCGCCACAGGGGUAUAACCGCGGGAAACCGCGACUAAUCCCGCAUGACGCCGGGGGAGGGCAUCCUUCCCCGGCCAAAGGAGCGAUCCGGUGGCGGAUGGGCAUGCGGCGCAUUAGCUAGUCGGCGGGGUAACGGCCCACCGAGGCGACGAUGCGUAGGGGUUCUGAGAGGAAGGCCCCCCACACUGGUACUGAGACACGGACCAGACUCCUACGGGAGGCAGCAGUGAGGAAUAUUGGUCAAUGGGCGGAAGCCUGAACCAGCCAAGUCGCGUGAGGGAAGAAGGCCCUGCGGGUCGCAGACCUCUUUGGACGGGGAGCAAGGCCGCGGACGUGUCCGCGGAAGGAGAGUACCCGUAGAACAAGCAUCGGCUAACUCCGUGCCAGCAGCCGCGGUAAUACGGAGGAUGCGAGCGUUAUCCGGAUUUAUUGGGUUUAAAGGGUGCGCAGGCGGCCCGACAAGCCGGCGGUCAAAUCGCGGGGCUCAACCCCGUCCAGCCGUCGGAACUGCCGGGCUAGAGUGGGCGAGAAGUGCGCGGAAUGCGUGGUGUAGCGGUGAAAUGCAUAGAUAUCACGCAGAACUCCGAUUGCGAAGGCAGCGCACCGGCGCCCUACUGACGCUCAGGCACGAAAGCGUGGGUAUCGAACAGGAUUAGAUACCCUGGUAGUCCACGCAGUAAACGAUGGAUGCUAGGUGUCCGGGGAGAAUGUUCUCUGGGUGCCACAGCGAAAGCGUUAAGCAUCCCACCUGGGGAGUACGCCGGCAACGGUGAAACUCAAAGGAAUUGACGGGGGCCCGCACAAGCGGAGGAACAUGUGGUUUAAUUCGAUGAUACGCGAGGAACCUUACCCGGGCUCAAACGGCGCAGGAACGACCUUUGAAAGGAGGCGGCCCCACGGGGCCUGCGCCGAGGUGCUGCAUGGUUGUCGUCAGCUCGUGCCGUGAGGUGUCGGCUUAAGUGCCAUAACGAGCGCAACCCCCACCGCCAGUUGCCAGCAGGUAAAGCUGGGGACUCUGGCGGGACUGCCGGCGCAAGCUGCGAGGAAGGCGGGGAUGACGUCAAAUCAGCACGGCCCUUACGUCCGGGGCGACACACGUGUUACAAUGGCGGGUACAGCGGGAAGCCACCUGGCGACAGGGAGCGGAACCCGAAAGCCCGUCUCAGUCCGGAUCGGAGUCUGCAACCCGACUCCGUGAAGCUGGAUUCGCUAGUAAUCGCGCAUCAGCCACGGCGCGGUGAAUACGUUCCCGGGCCUUGUACACACCGCCCGUCAAGCCAUGGGAGCCGGGGGUGCCUGAAGUGCGUGACCGCAAGGAGCGCCCUAAGGCAAAACCGGUGACUGGGGCUAAGUCGUAACAAGGUAACCAA
rnacentral:rRNA from 1 species